rnacentral:rRNA from 1 species
GACGUAGGAGGCGAGCGUUGUCCGGAUUCAUUGGGCGUAAAGAGCACGCAGGCGGUUUGGCAAGUCGGACGUGAAAAUCCGGGGCUCAACCCCGGACCUGCAUCCGAAACUGCCCGACUAGAGGUAGGUAGGGGAGAUCGGAAUUCCUGGUGUAGCGGUGAAAUGCGCAGAUAUCAGGAGGAACACCGGUGGCGAAGGCGGAUCUCUGGGCCUUACCUGACGCUCAGGUGCGAAAGCCAGGGGAGCAAACGGG